UUAGUUAGUUAAACUUAUUUAUUUAUAUAUCAAACUGCAUAAUUAUCAAUUAAUAGCCAAAUUAAUUCUGAAUUAACCCCAAUGUAACUAAGGUCCUUUUAAUGUUUAAAUGGCUUGGGCCCCAUAUGGUGCUUUUGUCUGUCCAUCAUUAACACUUUUAGACACAGAGUUGUUGACCCACAUUAAAAAACUGACUGGCUUGUUAAUAAAUGAGAAGACCAUGAUGUCAGUAGAGUAACAUGAUUGCACCAGUUACAUAUGCUAAACAAUAUAGCAGAGCUUGGCAUAAUCUUAUCUUUCAUAGUUAUAUUUAAAUGUGUUACUUCAUUUGUAGCAGACAUUAAAAAUUCAGGAUGAUUGAUAUACGACUUAUAGUUUUUUUAGGAGGCAGUUUGUCAUGCUGGCUACGUGUAUAUGUGUAUACGUAUAUGUGUAACAAUUUAAAAAUAUUUUUAUAGACCCAUAAUGUUGAAAAGGAAGACCAGAACACGGCCCAUUGACGAUGCAACGUCGUAUAUAUUGUCAUCGAGGGACAAGCCAUGGCUAAUAGAAAAAUUCAUUGAUGCCAACAAAGGUACAGGGUUGUCAGGUUCUUUAAGGGGCAACAUAUAGUAGCAUUGUGGGGUGUCAUUGUGGUAAAACACUAGAUAUGCAGCUGCAUUGUUUUUAGAGGCAGCAGAACAAAACAUUUUGACAUAGUGGUAAUGCCACAUUUAAUUUACGAGCUGUUGGUCAUGCUGUAUGUGAAAGCUUAAGAUGCCCCAAUGAUUCUUCUUAUUAAAUGUAUAUCGAAUUACAUGUCCUUAUAGGAAGGGGAGUUUUCACUUCCCAGCCAAUCAAACAAGGUGCUUUUGUCUUGGAGUACAGGGGUGAACUUAUUUCAUUGGACAAAUGCCAGUCAAGACACUACUCUAAGACUCAGAGUACAUUUCUUUAUGAAUUUGAAUGGAAAAAACAAAAAUGGUGUAUUGAUGCAUCCAAAGAAGAUGGGUCUCUUGGAAGACUAGUAAAUGUCAACCAUAAAUUCCCAAAUUGUGUAAUGAAAAAAGUCAUUGUAAAUGACAGGCCACAUUUGUGUUUAUUCGCUGUGAGGCACAUAGAAGCAGGAACCGAACUUGAUUACAACUAUGGAGAUUCCAAAUGGCCGUGGCGCAUAAAGGUGACCAAUAAGCAGCCUUCUCCUGUGGCAGCAGACUCUGAGAUGGUCUCUGAUCUGAGUACCCUACAAAAAUCCCAGGGGGAUGAUGCUAACACACAGGUGACCAAUAAGCAGCCUUCUCCUGUGGCAGCAGACUCUGAGAUGGUCUCUGAUCUGAGUACCCUACAAAAAUCCCAGGGGGAUGAUGCUAACACACAGAUGGUUGGAGUUUGGAGCAUUUCUGAUCCUUUUUAUGAUUCCAAUGAGAGUAUAGUGGAUGAAACUGAUGACUUAGAUUCUGUUAAAGACCAUUCCAGUGUGCAAACAGAUGAUACUGUUCCAAAGCUCAGAAGGACCAAAAGCUUUCUGAAACCAGUACUCGAUUUCUCUGAUGCUCUCUAUGAUUCAACUGACAGUGACGAUACUGAGAAUCCUUCCACUUUUAGUUCAAAAAUGACUUUACAAAGGCCGAAGCGAGGCUGUUGCCAUCCGUAGAUUUAUGCCAAGGUCAGAGCACAAGCAAGUCUUCCAGUCAGAGCACAAGCAAGUCUUCCAGUCAGAGCACAAGCAAGUCUUCCAGUCAGAGCACGAGCAAGUCUUCCAGUCAGAGCACAAGCAAGUCUUCCAGUCAGGGCACGAGCAAGUCUUCCAGUCAGGGCACGAGCAAGUCUUCCAGUCAGGGCACGAGCAAGUCUUCCAGUCAGGGCACGAGCAAGUCUUCCAGUCAGGGCACGAGCAAGUCUUCCAGUCAGGGCACGAGCAAGUCUUCCAGUCAGAACACGAGCAAGUCUUCCAGUCAGGGCACAAGCAAGUCUUCCAGUCAGAGCACGAGCAAGUCUUCCAGUCAGGGCAUGAGCAAGUCUUCCAGUCAGAGCACGAGCAGAGCACGGACCUUAUCCGAAAUAAAGGGAACUUUGAAUAUAAUACCGAAGUUUUGCAGAGCCAGGAAGGCAAACUCAUUCCAUGGAAGCAACCGAAGAAGCAAAUGGAGGGACAAGAAUUCAUGCAUUGUGUGUACUGCUAUGGUUUGUUCAAAAGAAGAGCAAUGUGGCGACAUUUUCAGGCCUGCAAAUUCAAGCCUCAGAAAUCCAAACCAAGGAAAACGAGAGUUCAAGCGUUGUGUGUUUUUGCAGAAAAUGCUCCAAAAGGAUUUUCUGAUGCAUAUUGGCAGUUCUUAAGUGGCAUGAAUCAAGAUAUGAUUACAGUUGCUAUUAAGCAAGACUGUCACAUACUUGAGUAUGGUUAUAGACUGUUCAAGAAGAAUGAAAAAUUAAAGAGCCAACACCAGUAUGUUCGUCAAAAACUCAGAGAGCUUGCCAGACUGGUACUGGAAACAAAAAAAGUCACACCUGUGAAAACUGUUGCUGAACUCAUAAAGCCAGACAUGUAUUGUAAUGUUGUCAAUGCUACAAGACACCUAGCUGGAUUCAUUGAUGAAACUGGAAAAUAUCAGCAUCCAUCUCUUGCUCGAAAACUUGGCCACAGUUUGCAUGCUUUAGCACUGUUUAUUAAGUCACAAGGAUUGAAGAUGAAAGAUAAACAAACUGUCCAAGAUGCUGAUCAUUUCAUCCAGCUUUACCAAGAAAGUUGGAAAUAUGAUAUAGCGAGCCAGGCCUUAACUCAGCUUAAUCAAGCUAAAUGGAAUGCUCCUCAACUGCUACCAUUAAUACAGGAUGUCCAAAAUCUUCAUUCCCAUUUGUCUGAGAAACAGCAGCAAUACUUAAUUGCUCUGAAAACAGAGACUUCACCAUCAAACUGGAAAAACCUUGCUAAAGUGACUUUGGCACAAGUUAUCCUUUUCAACCGUCGGAGAGAAGGAGAGGUAUCCAGAACAUCCUUGUCUGCUUACUUAUCUAGACACAUCAGAAACACAUGAUGAUGUUAACUUGGCUCUUACACCACUGGAGCAGAAGCUGUGCAAACAUUUUGCCCGGAUGACUAUCAUUGGAAAGAGAGGAAGGAAGGUUCCUCUUCUUCUCACUCCGAUCAUGAGAGAAUCACUUGAACUUUUGACUGAGAAGCGAGAAAAAUGUGGGGUGCUGAGGGAAAAUGAAUUUUUGUUUGCAUUGCCGCAUUCUGAUAACAGCCUCAGGUGUUAUAGUUGCCUCAAGGAGUUUGUGGAAGAAUGUGAAACUCUUAAAAAUCCACGAGUUUUAACUUCCACAAAGCUCAGAAAGCACAUUGCCACCCUCUCGACCGUUCUGAAUCUGAAGAAUAAUGAACUCGAUCAAUUAGCAGAUUUCCUUGGGCAUAACAUCGAUGUCCAUAGAAAGCACUAUCGUCUUCCAGAGGGCACUCUUCAAGUAGCGAAAAUAAGUAAAGUUCUUCUGGCUUUGGAACGAGGACGGCUAGGACAAUACAAAGGAAAGAAUUUGGACCAAAUUCAUAUUGACGUGAAUGAGACUUGAGAGUUGAGAUGGAGGAUUCACAAGAAGACAUUGAAGGUUUGCAAGAAGCACAGGGAUUAGAUGAGGCUACCGUGCCCCUGUUAAAAGUUGCCAGUGUGCAAGAAGGAGAUGGGUCAGGAAAUGAAGCCCAGGCAGUACUUACCUCCACUGCCAAAAGCAAGACCAAGCAAUCAAGAAAGAGAGGCAAACAAACUGCAAUAAAAAGAAGCUGGGGACCAGAAGAAUGUUCUGCAGUUGAAAGGCAUUUGAGAAGGUUCCUAGUAAUGAAUGAAGUACCAGGUAAGGAAGUCUGUCAGUAGUGCAUUGCUGCAGAACCUGAAGCCCUUGGAAGCAGAGACUGGAAAGCAGUAAAAUAUUUUGUUAAAAACCGCAUUGCUUCCCACAGGAGAAAACUCCAAUAAAAGAUUGUGUUUUGUCUAAUCACUUUUUUAAUGGUGUUUAUUAUUUUGUUUUAGUUGUAUUAAUUGUCCUUGUUCUGAAAGCUGUAUAUUUUAUUUACAUAUUUUUUUGUACUGAAACUAUGUGCACACUGUUCUAAUUUAUGUGGCACUGCACUUUUUCAAACAUAAAUACAUGCUUCUUGAGAACAAAACCUGUUGUUAAGAGACUAUUUUAUGCCAUGUUUGAUGUAAAAUAUUACUUUUGGUUAGCCUGGCAAAGCCUGAUAUUAACACAGUAUGGUGUUUGAGAGGUUUGAUUUGGAAAUUCACCAUGAAUUUGCAUUAGGGGUCAUUACCAUCGUGACAAUCAGAUAUGUCGGUUGGUGCAAAAUAAAUGGAUAUGGGAUGUAGAGGAUGUAAAUUAGAAUAAAAUCCCUGAUACAGUCCUGUAUUUAAUCAAGUUCAAACAAAGAAACUCUUAAUAUCUCCAGAUAAUUUUUUUGGUCCUUGCUAAGCUAUAAAAACUUGAAAUAUGUGUGUGUGUGUGAAAGUGGACCUCACAAGGGUACCCCGCUAGAAACUGGGACCCACAAGGGGCCAAAAUCCUUUUUUGAAAAAGUUUAGAAUUUUAUUAAAUUGAAGUGAUAUUUAUGAUUAGGAAUUUUUUUUGGUCAUGCCUGAUUUUUUACAGAGUUGUAGGACCAUUGGAAAGGGUGGACCCCAUAAGGGUACA